AACGAACGCUGGCGGCAUGCCUAACACAUGCAAGUCGAACGAGACCUUCGGGUCUAGUGGCGCACGGGUGCGUAACGCGUGGGAACCUGCCCUUAGGUUCGGAAUAACUCCCCGAAAGGGGUGCUAAUACCGGAUAAUGUCUUCGGACCAAAGAUUUAUCGCCUUUGGAUGGGCCCGCGUUGGAUUAGCUAGUUGGUAGGGUAAAAGCCUACCAAGGCGACGAUCCAUAGCUGGUCUGAGAGGAUGAUCAGCCACGCUGGGACUGAGACACGGCCCAGACUCCUACGGGAGGCAGCAGUGGGGAAUAUUGGACAAGGGGCGAAAGCCUGAUCAAGCAAUGCCGCGUGAGUGAUGAAGGCCUUAGGGUUGUAAAGCUCUUUUACCCGGGAUGAUAGUGACAGUACCGGGAGAAUAAGCUCCGGCUAACUCCGUG
rnacentral:rRNA from 1 species